rnacentral:rRNA from 1 species
GAUUAAGACCCGAAGCCAAGCGAUCUACCCAUGAGCAGGGUGAAUCUUUUAGAAAUAAAAGAGGAGGCCCGAACCCUUUCGUCGUACAACGCGUUGGGAUGACUUGUGGGUCGCAGUGAAAAGCUAAUCGAGCUUGGUAAUAGCUGGUUCUCUCCGAAACAUCUUUAGGGAUGGCGUUAUGUGUUCCCUCUGGGGGUAGAGCACUGGAAGGUUGGAACAGGGAGAAAUCUCGUCCAACCUAUCAAACUCCGAAUACCAGAGAUUAAAAACAUAGCAGUAAGACUACGGGCGCUAAGGUUCGUCGGUCUAAAGGAAAACAGUCCAGAUCUCAAGCUAAGGUCCCUAAAUUUAUACUAAGUGCACUUAAGGUGGUGAAAUUUCACUGACAACGAGGAGGUUGGCUUAGAAGCAGCCAUCCUUUAAAGAUAGCGUAACAGCUCACUCUUUCAGAGAUUUUGCGCCGCAGAUUAUCGGGGCUAAGUAUAAUACCGAAGCUGAGGGCUUGUGGAUUCUUCGGAAUUCAUGAGCGGUAGGAGAGUAUUCGUGUCUGCGCUGAAGCCAAAGGGGUGACCCAUGGUGGAGCGUCACGAAGUAAGAAUGUUGGCACAAGUAACCACAAUGCGGGUGAGAUCCCCGCACGCCGAAAAAUCAAGGUUUCCUCUGCAAUGACAAUCAGCGGAGGGUUAGUCGGUCCUAAGGAAAUGACGAAAGUUGGAUUCGAUGGACAGACGGUUAAUAUUCCGUCACUUGAUUAUGGUGCGAUGGAGGGACGGAGUGUAUUAUGAUGAGCCUAUUAUUGGAUUUAGGUUCUUACUAAGAGGCCGUACUGUAGGUAAAUCCGCAGUAUAUAAGCCGAUUUAGAGAGAAAAUUUCGCGGGCUUGCCCAAGAGAAAUUCAUCAAAAAACGCUUCCCAGAAAAACUUCUAAGCAUAACCAUAAUCAAACCGUACCUAAAACCGACACAGGUGAUUUGGUCGAGAAGACCUAGGCGAACGAGUUAGAUGUCCUCAAGGAACUCGGCAAAAAAGCGACCGUAACUUCGGAAUAAGGUCUGCCCAUCUUCGGAUGGGCCGCAGCUAAAGUAUCCCUGGCGACUGUUUAUCAAAAACACAGCUCCCUGCGAACUCGCAAGAGGAUGUAUAGGGGGUGACACCUGACCAAUGCCGGAAGGUUAAAUAUUGGCGGUGCCAAACAUUUUGUUCCUAAACUAAAAUAGACAAUUUAUCAAGAAUGAAUGUCUUAGUUUGGUGAUAAAAUGUUUGGUGCUGACUGAUAUAAGCCCCGGUGAAUGUCGGCCGUAACUAUAACGGUCCUAAGGUAGCGAAAUACCUUGUCUGGUAAAUUCAGACGCGCACGAAUGGUGUAACGACUUGGGAACUGUCUCGAGGACUUGCUCGGUGAAAAUACAAUGGCGGUGAAGAUGCCGCCUACCUGCAGCUAGACGAAAAGACCCCAGGAGCUUUACUACAACUUGAUAUUGGUUGCACGCUUCUGCUGCGUAGAAUAGGUGGGAGACUUUGAUGCUUUUCUUUUGGGAAAAGUGGAGUCGUCAGUGAAAUACCACUCUGUAGAAAUGUGUAAUCUAACCAUUUGGGCAAAAACCACUUGGGACAGUAUCUGGUGGGUAGUUUUAGUGGGGCGCUAUCCUCCUAAAGAGUAACGGAGGAGCCUACAAAGGUCAGUUAGGCGUGAAUGGAAAUCAUGCCGAUAGUGUAAUGGCAUAAACUGGCUUGACUGCAAGAUGUACAAAUCGAGCAGGUGCGAAAGCAGAGCAUAGUGAACCGACGGUACGCGUUAGAUGCGGCCGGAGAUUAACGGAUAAAAGUUACCCUGGGGAUAACAGGCUGGUACUACCUAAGAGUUCAUAUCGACGGUAGUGUUCGGCACCUUAACAUAUCGGGGUGCGGUACGAGAGAUCGUAUAGCUUGGGUAACAUUUUCAAGACCAAUGAACCAAUGAAAAUGUUAUUUAAAAAUCUUGGCUUAUAACGGUGAACGCCAUUUUUUCUUAAUACAAUACUUUUGUGUUAUAUUAAGUUGAAUGGUCAAUACCGUGGGAAGUCUAACUAAACUUGAACGAUCAAUAAUUAUUGGUAGUUUGCUUGGUGAUGGGUAUAUGAGAAUUAUACCUGGCAGAUCUAAUGCUUUUUUAGAAAUAAAUCAUUCAAUAAAAGCAAAAGAUUAUGUUGAUUUCAAAUACAAUAGUCUAAAAAGAUUUUGUAAAUCAGCACCAAUUGAACGAAAAAAUAACGGAGAUCGUAUAGCUUACAGAUUCUUUACCAAACAACACAAAGAUUUAACAUUAAUCUAUAAUUCUUUCUACAAAGGAAAAACAAAAGUUAUUCCAAAAGAUAUAGAGUUAAAUCCCAUGGUGUUAGCAAUAUGGUAUAUGGAUGAUGGAAGCAAAUCUCGUGAUAGUGAUAUCUACUUAAACACACAACAAUUUUCUUUUAAAGAUCAAAAGAUAUUGUUAAAUGCCUUACGAAAUAUAGAAGUAAGAGCUCGUUUAAAUAAAGAUAAAAAAUACUAUCGAAUUAGAAUCUUGAAAGAAAGUGUUUGUGAAUUUAUGAAAAUAAUUUCUCCGCACAUUAUAGAUUCAAUGAGGUACAAGUUAGUUAUGACCCCGUAGAGACUUGAUCUUAAUUUAAAAACAGAUCGGAGCGCUUUAAAUGCAAAGUGCUAAGACGCCAACUCCUAACUAUAAUUGAUUAUUAUAGAAGGAUGAAGAUAUAGUCCGCACCAUUAGUAAUAAUGGACAACGAGCGAUGUCGGCUCAACUUAUCCUGGGGGUGGAGAAGCUCCCAAGGGUUUGGCUGUUCGCCAAUUAAAAAGUUACGCGAGCUGGGUUCAGACCGUCGUGAGACAGGUUGGUCUCCUAUCUGCUGCAGGCGUUGAUUCUUGAAGAGGCUUGCCCCUAGUACGAGAGGACCGGGGUGAACUGACCUCUGGUGUAUCGGCUGUUCCGCCAGGAGCAUUGUCGAGUAGCUAUGUCAGGUUUAGAUAACCACUGAAAGCAUCUAAGUGGGAAACUAGCUCUAAGAUUAGGAAUCGUUAUGAGGACCGUGAGAGAUGAUCACGUUGAUAGGCACCAAGUGUAAGUAUGGCAACAUAUUUAGCUGAGGUGUACUAAUUAACCCAUCUCAUU